UACAGAGGGGGCAAGCGUUGUUCGGAAUUACUGGGCGUAAAGGGCGCGUAGGCGGCCUGCUAAGUCGAACGUGAAAUCCCUGGGCUCAACCCAGGAACUGCGUCCGAUACUGGUUGGCUUGAAUCCGGGAGAGGGACGUGGAAUUCCAGGUGUAGCGGUGAAAUGCGUAGAUAUCUGGAGGAACACCGGUGGCGAAGGCGACGUCCUGGACCGGUAUUGACGCUGAGGCGCGAAGGCUAGGGGAGCGAACGGG
rnacentral:rRNA from 1 species